UACGAAGGGUGCAAGCGUUACUCGGAAUUACUGGGCGUAAAGCGUGCGUAGGUGGUUUGUUAAGUCUGUUGUGAAAGCCCCGGGCUCAACCUGGGAAUGGCAAUGGAUACUGGCAAGCUAGAGUGCGGUAGAGGGUAGUGGAAUUCCCGGUGUAGCGGUGAAAUGCGUAGAGAUCGGGAGGAACACCAGUGGCGAAGGCGGUCUGCUGGGCCAAGACUGACGCUGAGGCGCGACAGCGUGGGGAGCAAACAGG
rnacentral:rRNA from 1 species